rnacentral:rRNA from 1 species
CCCUUAGAUGUUCUGGGCCGCACGCGUGCUACACUGAGUGGAUCAGCGGGUCAGGUUGCGCGAAAGUGUUUCCUAAUCUUUAAAUCCGCUCGUGAUGGGGAUUGACGGUUGCAAUUUUCCGUCAUGAACGAGGAAUACCUUGUAAGCGCGGGUCAUCAUCCCGCGCUGAAUACGUCCCUGCCCUUUGUACACACCGCCCGUCGCUCCUACCGAUUGAAUGGUCCGGUGAGGCUUUGGGAUCUGAGCGGAAAGAGCGUUUCGCUGUUUCUGCCCGGAAAACUCAGUCGAACCUUAUCAUUUAGAGGAAGGAGAAGUCGUAACA